GAAGACGAAGUCCAGAUCCUGCAGCGUUGAAGCUCUGCGGUCUCCUCUCAGCGCCGAUUCAUUUAUUGGGACAUUCAGACUCUUAUCAGCGGCGCUAUCUCUCCCCUCAGAGUCCCGCUUUGGAAACUGGGUCAGAGGAGGGUCACAGAUUACAGCGGAGAGGUGACCCGCGUGGGGCUCAGAUAUACAAACAGCAUUUUUACCCUCUUUUGUGUUUCUGAAGGUUUCUCUCUUUGUUUCUGCAGCUGAACCUCAAAGCCGCAGAUUUCUGUGUGUUCAGACCUGAACCUGUUUCCUCCACGAGGGGCCGAAUAAUGAGGCUCUAUCAGUGUGGUCACCUGAUUACUGUGGGGGGGCCGUUCAGAGUGGGACAGGUGAGUCAUACCUGUGUGUGUGUGUGUGUGUGUGUGUGUGUGUGUGUGUGUGUAUCAGGCGGGAGUUCUGCUAUCUUAUCAAACCGACUUCACCAAGGAGACUAUUGUGUAUGCAAGGUGACAAACUGCCUUAUAUUCCCCUUCAGUGCAUGUGUGUGUUUUUAUGAAUGCGUGUGUGUGUGUGUGUGUGUGUGUGUGUGUGUGCUCUCUCAGGCGUCUGCAUGUUGAUCUUGUUUCAUAAAAAAGUGAAAUUGUCUGAGAAAAACUCAAAUUUCUGCAGAAACAGGAAACAAUUUGUGUCUCUUUUCAAACAUUGUGACUCCUCGACUAUUUGUGCAUGUGUGUGAGUGCAUGCAUGUGUGUGUGUGUAUCGAGUGUGUGUGCAUGGAGUCUGUAUCUCUGAGGCCUCGGGGCUCAUGGUUGCUGAUCCUGCGUGACAGAAAAGAAAAGGCAGCGACUGAUACGUGACUCUGAGAGAACAGGGCUGGGUUAGGUAACUGACAGACAGACGGAGAGACAGACAGACAGGGAGACAGAGAAACAGACAGAGAAACAGACAGACAGACAGACAGACAGACAGACAGACAGACAGACAGACAGAGAAACAGACAGACAGACAGACAGACAGACCUGGCGUCAGCUGCAGGAUCGAGGAUCAAUAAAUGUUUUUUUUCCCUCUAAACUCUCAGAGAAGAUCCUGCAGAUUAAAGUUUGUAGGUCAGUCGGUGACCCUGAAAACCUUUUUAUAAACCUUAAAAAAAGUCAGAAUUUAAGCUCCGCCCCUCAUCAUCAAACAGAGCGACCCCGUAGAUUUACAGGAUUGAACUGUUUUUCUGGUCAGGGUCAGGGGCAGGGCGGUGGGUUUUGGAGCGGUCCGGCUCUCUCUGUGUGUUUCCUUUGAGGUUCUCAGUGUGAUCCGGCCGUGUUUAGUCUAACAGUCCAACAUGUCACACACUACAGUCAUUUGGUCAGGAGCUGUUUCAACAAGACGCUGCUAUUCCUGCAGGAAAACAGACACUGACUGACUGACAGACGGGCCGGUCUGAUCUCUGACGGAUCUGAUGGAUCUGGAUUUACACGGUUCCUCUUUUUAAACUCCUUCAAGACCUGACAGGACAGGAGUCUGCCUCCCUCUGUAAACUCUAAACCGCUUAAAGAAAUACACUCAGAGACGGUUUCUCGUCCUCUUCUAGGACAGGCAGGAUAAAAUCAUCUCUGACCUUCAUCUGAGAACACCUGAGAGACUCAGCGUCCGUCAGUUCAGCUCAGACUGAAGGAUGAUUUUGGAGCUGAAUCUCAGAUUAAAGGACCUCUCAAUGUUUGAACUUUAAUUCUUCAUUUUAUAGUUUUAUUCUCUUCUGUGUUGGAAAUGAAGCUGCUAAGAUUGUUGAUUUAUUCAAUCCAGAAAAAUUCAG